rnacentral:misc_RNA from 1 species
GGAAGUAAAAGUCGAACAAGGUUUCCGUAGGUGAACCUGCGGAAGGAUCAUUAUUGUAUAACCGAGGUGCGAGGGCUGUCGCUGACCCGAAAGGUCGUGCACGCCCGAGUGCCCUCACACACAUCCAUCUCACCCCUAUGUGCACCACCGCGUGGGUCCCCCUUUGGCUUGUUCGGAGGGGGGCUUACGUUUUCACACAAACUUUGUAUGCAGUGUAGAAUGUAUUCUUUGUUUUUGCGAUCACGCAAUCAAUACAACUUUCAACAACGGAUCUCUUGGCUCUC